UAACCCCUGCGGUGCUCGUAUAGAAAGUAUGGAUUUGAAAGAACCGAUACCCGUACUCAGGGAAAUCAGGCCUUGAUGGAUCGGAAAAGCCUACUCGAUAGGACUUUCGGACACAAGCAACGAUUACCCACUUUGUAGUAAUGGGUUCUUUUCAAACGCUUUCUUACGGCACUCGUGGAGGAGGG
rfam:Planctomycetes bacterium RBG_13_50_24 RBG_13_scaffold_67426, whole genome shotgun sequence.